AUGUAAUGAUGUUGGUGAAAUGUGUGAUCUGAAAUGAGUAUGUAGACACAUUUAGCACUGAAAAG
rnacentral:snoRNA from 1 species